UACGUAGGGGGCAAGCGUUGUCCGGAUUUAUUGGGCGUAAAGAGCGUGUAGGCGGCCACACAGGUCUGCUGUGAAAACUCGAGGCUCAACCUCGAGCUGUCGGUGGAAACCGUGUGGCUAGAGUCCGGAAGAGGAGAGUGGAAUUCCCGGUGUAGCGGUGAAAUGCGCAGAUAUCGGGAAGAACACCGGUGGCGAAGGCGGCGAGCUGGUCCGUAUCUGACGCUGAGGCGCGACAGCGUGGGGAGCAAACAGG
rnacentral:rRNA from 1 species